GGACAGCUCGCGGCUGCGGGGUCUUCCAGACACGGGUGCCAAGCCCAGCCCCGCUUCUCACUGGCCACGGGAGCUUUGCCCGCCUCUCCCGGCCUUGCUCUCGUCCGCAAAACGGGAGUCGGACCUUACAAAGCCUCUCUGUGGUAAUGGGACAAGUCACGCUCCGGGGUCGGAAGAGGGGUCGGGUGUUUUUAGGGAAAAGGGUGCCAUCAGGGAAGUGUCCUUUGUUCCCCCCCCCACCCCCGGAAAGAGGGUCUGCACCUUGGAGACAGGAAGGGAGGCGUUCAGGGCCAAGGCAGCAGCCAGACCAAAGGUGAGCUGGUGAGCCGCGGGAGGCGGACCACAUCGCACCGGGGGCAGGAGCAGGGACGCCCUCCCACAGGUGGUGUUGGCAGGAGCUCCCGUCCCCCGGGCCCUCACCCUGAGCACGGCCCGGCGCUCAGCCUUCUGCACGAUUUCUUGCCGCUCCUCCUCCCAGGGACCCUGGGCACUCGGUCCGUUCUGUGGGUGCGGAUGAGGUUCAAAGAGACGCAUCCCCUUGCACGAGACCAUGCGGCUAGAAAGCCCCAGAGACCUCACGGUCCGGUUGGGGAAGAGGUGUAACCGAUCCAAGGAAGAGAUGUCUGAGCACAUACCGUGAUCAUCCGCUCCAGUGCCACACUGUUAGGAUGCCCGCUUCACGGCUGGGAAAACUGAGGUUUGGAGACGGCAGGCCCCUUGUCCGAGGCCCUAAAGUCGGUCAGCGGCAGAGCCGAGAUUCGAACCCUCAUUUGCCACACUCCCAAGCCCUUACCAAGGCCUGAGCAGGCAGAAGAGGGGUGGGGGAGCCUUGCAGACAAUGGGAUCAAGACUGAGCGAAGCCACAGGGGCUGCUCUGUCCCUUAUGCAGAGCCUUCUGCAUCUGGUGCCCCAUCUACCCUUGAGGGGACUGCUGGAAACAGAAUUGCACCCGCUUUGCAGUGAAGGCCCUGCGGGUCUGUGAGGACUUGCUGAGGACCCCAGAGCUCUCGUCCCCGGAGUCCUGGCAAGACCAGGAGAGGUGGCUGUCUGCAGAACAGCACUGUCCCCGGCUACGGAGGUAAGAGGCUGAGUUGGAUUGGGGGCGUACCCGAGCAAGGGUACCUGCUCUGCAGUUACCCUGCCUCCGCCUCCCCCCCAAAGCUCCCCAGGUGGAGACAGGAUGUGGGCGUUGUGGCACCUCUUCCUUAGCUCAUCGCUCCCAUCCCUGCAAGCUGAGCCCCUCUCCGCACCAGUUGAGCCAGAGACCCAGGGGGGACAAGGUGAAGGCCCAGAAUGGCCCCUUAGUGCAUCUGGGACCAUGAUCCAUUUGGGGUUGUGGCAUCUUCUCUAUGGAGGCCUUGCUCUCAGCCCCCAAACCAUCUUAAUAAUGACAGCGAACUUGCUACUGCUUCCACAGCAAUGGCCAGAGUUCCUUGGUCUUCCCUCUUGGUUUCCUGUAACAGCGGCCCCUGUUGAACCAGCCGGGUGGCCUGUCCCAGCAGGUCCGUGCUGUGGAGCUGGGAAGUUGGAGACGCCCACCUCCAGCCACCCUCACGAGGGGUUUCUAUCAGCUAGGGUUCUCGAGCUGCAAGUGACAGAAACCGGCUCGGCCUCAUGUAGACAGAAAAGGGAUUUAUCGGCAGGUUUUGAGGGCGGGAGACGCAGAGUUGAGCCACAGCAAGGGCCAGGGUAGUUCAGGGUCUUCGAGAGAGGCUGAAGUCAAGCAGAGUCUUCAGGACUCGGCGGGAACGACUCCGCUCCGACCAGGAACCCAUCUUUGUUCCGAUCAUGCCAGAAUCUUCAGGGAAAAUUCAGGGAGAGCAAAAAGACCCAGCAAGGCACCGAUGUCACUCUUCCAUUUAUUCAUUCAGUAAAUGUUCUCGGGCACCUGCCAUGUGCCAAGCCCUGUUCUAACUAAGCCCUAGGAUACAGCCUACUUUGAGAGAGACAGACACUAAUGGGAAGCCCAGAAGAUCGCUUAUGAUGUGUUGAAAACAGGACAGAGAGCCCCACGGAGAUUGUAUCCCAGGGGGAAAAGUAACUCCCCAAAAGGGACUUGAGGCAUGGCUGUCAAGAGAAGAGGGACCCGAACAUAGCAAAUAUCCACAGGGGGCUUCCUGUUAUUAUCAGGACUUCGAAAGCCUACGCUGGCACCCAGGGCAGUGGCAAGGAUUUGGAUCCUGGAAUUAGACUUUGGAUCUGGUCCCAGCCACUUCCUUCCCAGGACCUGGGCCAAAUCACCUCAUCUUUCCACACCUGCAAAGCGAGGAUGAUCAUUCGUCCCACGUAGGGUCCCCAGGAGGUCAAAUGAGGUCAAGCAUGCCCCAUGCCUGGCAUAUAAUGAGCAUUGAAUUUACUUCCCACACCAGGUGCUUGAUCGCAUCCUGGGUGUGGGAGUGUGGGGAUGCGUGUGUGCAAGGUGGCUCACCAAGCCAGGCCCUUGACAUUGGGGGCUAUGUCUGCUGACCCUCCAAUGUAUUGCAUUACAGCUUAACGAUUUUAUUUAUCUUUUUAAGGUAAUCUGUACACCCAGCAUGGGGCUCGAACUCACAACCCCGAGAUCAAGAGUCAUGUGCUCCAACGGACUGAGCCAGCUGGGUGCCCCACCGUUAGCUUUAACAUCCUUCAUUCCUUCCUCCUUCUAGUUAAGAUUAAAAAAAAAAAAUUUUUUUUUAACAUUUAUUUAUUUUUGGGAGACAGAGAGAGAUAGAGCACAAGCAGGGGAGGAGCAGAGAGAGAGGGAGACAGAAUCCAAAGCAGGCUCCAGGCUCCGAGCUGUCGGCACAGAGCCCAAUGCGGGCUCAAACUCACAGACUGCGAGAUCAUGACCUGAGCCGAAGUCGGAUGCUCAACCAACUGAGCCACCCAGGCACCCCUUCUAGCUAGGAUUUUUUAAGGUACCUUAACUACAGAACUGCCCCCUGAGUCCUCGAACCACCCUGCAAAGCACCCGGCACCAGCUGAAGAAAUCCCCUUUCUAAAACACCCCGCGUUUCCCAAUGGUGUGUGUGCUCUGUCGUUGCAAUAGGACAGCGUGACAUUGCUCAACUACAGGGGUGUUCCUAGCGGUCUUCAGUGGGAGGACGUUGUAAACCAGAAACCCAAGAACAUCCCCCUGAAGAAAGCGUUUGCCCCGUCUAAAUGCAGCACUGCGGGGAACGGGAGGUGGGGGGACCGACCUGGUGCCUAGCACCGCAGGGAGUUAACUGAGAGAAGAAACAGCUAAAGGAAUGUGGCUUCUAGAAGGACAGCCCCUAGCCCUGGAUCACCUGCCUGCUGGCAGGAGGAGGGGGGUCGGAGAUUGUGGCAGAGGUUGGGGCUGGGCUGGGGAUGGGAGCUGUCACACUGUUUCUCACUGGCUUUAGUCUUUGUGUGCUUUGAUGUGAAAUGUAAUUACAGAUUCUGAAUUACGGUGGGGGCUCAUCAGGGCUGACUCAUCAAUUAGAUUUAUACGCAUUCGGUUCUCGGAGAUCUGUGACCCUGAUGUUGUCACCUCAAAGCUCUGAGAAAUCUGUCCCACCAGCUCGUCCUCUUAGGGAACUAUGGGGUCGAGAAAGCCACUUUGAGGGCCAGCUUGGAGGGACAGUCUGUCCAUGCUUGGGCAGCCCAGAGACAAUACCUGCCUCUGAAGUCCCCAUUCUUUAAAAUCUGUGAGGGCCUUGGCCUAGGAAUCCAGAAAUGUCAAAUACAUCUUUGUUCCACUCCCUCCGUCGGAAGUCAUGCUAACGGAUUACUAACAGCUGCCAAAUCUGGACCCAGCCCAGCCUCAGGCUCCUUUUUUGUUUUUUUUUUUUUAAUUUUUAAUGUUUAUUUUUGAGACAGAGACAGAGUAUGAGUGGGGAGGGGAAGAGAGAGAGAAAGAGAGGGAGACACAGAAUCCGAAGCAGGCUCCAGGCUGAGCUGUCAGCACAGAGCCCGACGCAGGGCUCGAAUUCGUCAACUGCAAGAUCAUGACCUGAGCAGAAGGCAGACGCUCAAUCGACUGAGCCCCCCAGGCGCCCCUCAGGCUCCUUCUUAACACAGCCUUCCGGGCAGCCCCUCCCGACCAAAUGGCAUAUUGGCAUCUCUUUCUCACCCCUGGAAUAAGCCCUUCCGCUGUCUCCACAAAAGGUAAUUGGGAAGGGAAGCUGGGUUUUGCUACCGAAGGCCCAGGUGGAGUGCUGGUUUGUGCCACUUGGCUGACUGUGGCACAUUGGAUUCAUCGCUGUACCCGACGGGGCUCCAGUUUGUCCAAAUGAAGUUAGGGUGAUAAUCCACGGUGAAAAUCCAUCUAAGAUGAUAAAUACGGAUGUUCUUUGUCUACUCUCAAACCCCACGCUAGUUAAAGAUGCAGCAGCCAACAGAGGAGAAAGAAGGAUGCCAGCGUCCUCGGCAUCCUGUGGAAAGCUGGUGUGAUCACCUUCCGGGGGCAAUCCUCAGUGGGGCCGUGAUCAUUUUUCUUCCCUCCUCUGUUGCCCUAGAACCGAAGCCAACCCUCCACAUUCAGGCUGCCCAGGAACUGCACUCCAGACAGCCAGCUGUCUCCAGCAGAACGACCAGGGGCAUGUUCUCCAGGCUUCUGGAGUUCGGAGGGGCCCCGUGGCUCUGGUUACCGGAGGGAAGCCUACCCUGGCUCCAAGCAUCCCGAGAGAGGUAGAUGAUUUAUGACAGGCAUGGAAAGCAUUUGUCCAUUUCUUUUCUCUUUGGCAGUCCUGUUUAUUACACAAGUAAGCCUUUGUCAAAUCCAACCCAAACUCAUUGUUCAAAAAAAAAAAAAAAAGAAAAUCCAGACAAACAACAAAGUUAAAACCACCCAUAAUCCCAUGAUUUAGAGGUAUUUUGUUUUUAAUGUUUAUUUUUGAGAGAGCGAGAGAGAGACAGAGUGUGAGCAGGGGAGGAACAGAGAGAGAGGGAGACACAGAAUCCGAAGCAGUAUCCAGGCUCUGAGCUGUCAGCACAGAGCCCCACGCAGGGCUCGAACUCAUGAACCGUGAGAUCAUGACCUGAGCCGAAGUCAGACACUCAACCGACUGAGCCACCCAGGUGCCCCUUAGAGGUAAGUAUUACUAACACAUGGGACAGAUCCUUGCAUUUUUUCCUGUGGUGUAUACACACACAUGCAUUUCUUUUCCAGGAAUUAGGUCGUUCUAUAUAUACUAUUUUACAACUUGUUUUUUUUCACUUAAAAGUUUUCUCUUUUCCACAGUAAUAAAUAUAUAGACACAA